rnacentral:rRNA from 1 species
CCUACGGGUGGCAGCAGUGAGGAUUAUUGGUCAAUGGGCGGGAGCCUGAACCAGCCAAGUCGCGUGAGGGAAGAAGGUCCUUCGGAUUGUAAACUUCUUUUGUCGGGGAACAAAGGCGGAGACGCGUCUCCGCCUGAGUAUACCCCGAGAAAAAGCAUCGGCUAACUCCGUGCCAGCAGCCGCGGUAAUACGGAGGAUGCGAGCGUUAUCCGGAUUUAUUGGGUUUAAAGGGUGCGCAGGCGGGAGAUCAAGUCAGCGGUAAAAUGUCGGGGCUCAACCCCGGCCGGCCGUUGAAACUGGUGGCCUAGAGUGGGAGAGAAGUAGGCGGAAUGCGUGGUGUAGCGGUGAAAUGCAUAGAUAUCACGAAGAACCCCGAUUGCGAAGGCAGCAUACCGGCUCCAUACUGACGCUGAGGCACGAAAGCGUGGGGAUCGAACAGGAUUAGAUACCCCUGUAGUC